rnacentral:tRNA from 2 species
GCGGAUAUGGUCAAAUGGUAAA